CCGACUCCGUGCUGGACGGUGCGUUCUCUGUGGGUUCCAGUUCAGUGGCUUGAGUCUGUGCGGUGUGAAAAAUAAAACGAACUCUUCCACGGGAUCAAAUGUCGCAAAAACACAACAGAAAAGAGGAUAUCAAUGGAAUCUAUAUGAAGUAGUGUAAAUGAUAUCUCCUAAAAAACAAAUGAACUUCAUUCCAAAGAGAAAUGAACGUACAUAAAACUAUAAAGCAAUUUAGAAAAAGAAAUAGAAAAUGAUUAACAAUAACAAACGUGUGGAUGACUAUUGUAACGCGAUGAUGUUGAUGUCUAAUGCCCCGUGACGGAACAAAUCUGUACGAGUGGAAAAAAGGUGGCUUCAUCUGAGGCAGAAGACGAUGAUCAAAUGACGAUGGUGGCUCCAGCGACCUAGAUGGAGGAGCUCCGGGAAUUGUCGCUGCUUCUCGUGUUGCUCUCAAUGAUCCGCUCGACUGUGAGUGGUGUCUUCAGGCAAGAACAGGUGUUCAUCAUCUCUCCACACAGCGUCAGAGUAAACGCCGGAGAGGACGUCUUCCUCGAGUGUGUCAUCCAAAACCAACAGGGUAAAGCACAGUGGACAAAAGAUGGCUUUGC